GAUCAUCAGGCAUUAGAUUCUCACAGGGGCGCUGUUCCCUGAUACCAAAAAGGUUGAGGACCGCUGCUAUACAUGAUAUGUAAGUAAAGUAUAUCUGUGUCUUGUGCCCAGCAUGCUGUGCUCAUGUACCCACCUGGCCCGUGAGGCUUCUUGGUGAGAUCCCCUCAUCUUGUUGUAAACCUACUAUGGGCCCACGGGCUAGACAAUUGAGAAGCCAGGUUUCCUGCUGUCUGAGAACUGUCUUAUGGGGCAGACAGACACAUAAAAUGAAAAUUAACAUAUAAUGUGAGAUGUUCUAUAAUAGGUACUGUGGGAACUGAGAGGAAGGAGCCCCACGUCAGCCUGGAGAAGUUAGGAAGAGCUAACAGAGGGGGUUACCCUGAAGCUGACUCUUAAAAAGGGCAAAGUUUUUUCAAAGGAAUAGAGAAAGGUGAAAAGAGGCUGAGAAAACUGCCAAAAAUAGUGCCCUGGUAUUAAAAGUAUUGCUCAUCACGAUUACCCACCCUCCAAAAAGAAGCUGGAUAAAUUCCCAUAAUUCCAGGCCACUUGGAGGAAAAGUUUCCAGGAAAGUAAGGCCACUAUUAAUCCCCUUCCUGCCUGAAAACUGUAGAGAGUGCAGGCUACCACUGACAGCUCAUGUCCAGUUGUGUAAUCUAACCUUACGUCACCAGCAUGCCUCACUGGCAUUUAUUCAGCAGAAAUAAAAACCUGGAUUUCGACUGGAUUUUGAAACUUCCUAGUCCCCUGCUUCGGCUAAUUUAAGGAAGUCAUUCACUGAGAAUAUCAAGCAACACACAGAAACUACUCUGCCAUCAAAGAGUUGAAGAAUUCUUGCCAUUGAAGUGAUUCUUAGCUUGAGCUGACUCCUGUUGAGCUCGGCGACCCAUCUUGGCCCCCUAUAAGGAGAAAUGAGGGGCACUGCUCACCCAAAUGUCUCUGAGCCACUAUGAGGACAAGAAUUCUGAGAAGAGAAGCAGGGAACAGAAGCAAUGGCCGAGGGAGAAGACAAGCCGAGGUGCUGGUGACCCUGGGCGUCCAAGUGGAUUAUUGGGGCUGCUCUCCAGGGGCCUGUCCUCCCUGCCUUCCAAUUGCACAUAACCCCACAUCCCAGCCAAGGAAGACAAGAGGCAGCGUGAACAAAGUCAUUUAGAAAGCCCCCGAGGAAGUGUAAACAAAAGAGAAAGCAUGAAUGGUGUGCCCGAGAGACAAGUGUGUCCUGCGCUGCCCCCACCUUUAGCUGGGCCAUCAGCAGCCCAGCCCUGUCUCUCCCCACCUACUCACUGGUGAUCUGACUUUUUUCUUUUUCUUUUUUUUUUUUCCAACGAUUUUUUUUUUCUUUUCUUUUCCAUUCUCUUUUCUUAUUCUCCUUCAAGGCAAGGCAAAGAUUUUGAUUUUGGGACCCAAGCCAUGGUCCUUCUGCUCCUUCUUUAAAAUACCCACUUUCUCCCCAUCGCCAAGUGGCCUUUGGCAAUAUCAGAUAUCCGCUCUAUUUAUUUUUACCUAAGGAAAAACUCCAGCUCCCUUCCCACUCCCAGCUGCCUUGCCACCCCUCCCAGCCCUCUGCUUGCCCUCCACCUGGCCUGCUGGGAGUCAGAGCCCAGCAGAACCUGUUUAGACACAUGGAGAAGAAACCCAGAGCUACAAGGCACACAGUCGGCUUCUUCGUGCUCAGGGUUGCCAGCGCUUCCUGGAAGUCCUGAAGCUCUCGCAGUGCAGUGAGUUCAUGCACCUUCUUGCCAAGCCUCAGUCUUCGGGAUCUAGGGAGGCCGCCUGGUUUUCCUCCCUCCUUCUGCACGUCUGCUGGGGUCUCCUCCUCGCCAGGCCUCGCAGCCCCCCUGGCCUCU